rnacentral:rRNA from 1 species
UACGGAGGGGGCAAGCGUUAUCCGGAUUCACUGGGGUUAAAGGGUGCGUAGGCGGGUAAGUAAGUCCGUGGUGAAAUCUCUGAGCUUAACUCAGAAACUGCCGUGGAUACUAUUUGCCUUGAAUAUUGUGGAGGUGAGCGGAAUAUGUCAUGUAGCGGUGAAAUGCUUAGAUAUGACAUAGAACACCAAUUGCGAAGGCAGCUCACUACACAAUGAUUGACGCUGAGGCACGAAAGCGUGGGGAUCAAACAGG